GGAGGAACACAAACCUGGACCAUUCUUCCUUGUGGAAUUUUAAUUCUUAUUUUCACUUCCUUCUUGAGCUGGGGCCGGGAAGGGAGAGCUGAGCUUCCUCAGGGCUUCUGAAAGCUGGGAAAUGGUUAUUGUCAGAACCGGCCCCUUUUGAGGGAGCUCACCUGCAGGGGGAGCGGCCACAUCUGGCACUAAUUCAUUCAACAGACUUCAGCUGCGUGUUAGAGGCCAUGAUGGAUGCUCCAGGGGAUGAAGGCAACCAAGACAGACUCCGCCUUCAAGGAGCUGUAGCCAGUUCCCUUCGAAUCAGUUUUUCACUUUUUAAAAUGACUUUGUUCUUCAUAUUGGAGAAGAAGUUGGUAUUCCUUCAACAUCCAAGCUCCUAAGAGACCGCAAGCUCCUUCUGUCGUGUCGUGGCAACUAUUUGAAGCAACAAAAGGGAAAGAGAUAGUAAAAAUAACUCAUUCCAGUUGGCAGAGCAUCACUGUAUCGUUCUCAAAGUGCUUGUAUUUAUCAGAAAUAAAGCUGAUACCCUCUUGGCAGCACUAGAUCAAGUUGGUCCAUUUUGAUGCUGACAAGAGGACUGAUGUUCUUGCUUUUCGUGGUCUGUGAGAACACUGUGUACCCUGGACUCAACAGAGUUGAUGUAAUCCAGGUUUGCUGACAUUCUUGAGGCAUGGAAAUUUUUCCUUAUUUUUAUUCCAGCUCCAAAAGUUUCCUGAGAGAACAUCCUAGAAGUAGCCUUUCAUGGCGGUAGCCAUCAGUCCUGGCUACUGAUUGAAAUCACUUGUGAAACUUAAAUUGUAGAUGUCCACUGAAGACAGAUGAAUUAGAACCUACAGCUCCAUUUUAUUUUUAGUUAAUUAUUGAGCUUGAAUGUUUAACCAUUG